rnacentral:rRNA from 1 species
UGAGGAAUAUUGGUCAAUGGGCGAGAGCCUGAACCAGCCAAGUAGCGUGCAGGAGGACGGCCCCAUGGGUUGUAAACUGCUUUUAUAUGGGAAUAAAGUGAGGGACGUGUCCCUUAUUGCAUGUACCAUAUGAAUAAGGACCGGCUAAUUUCGUGCCAGCAGCCGCGGUAAUACGGAAGGUCCAGGCGUUAUCCGGAUUUAUUGGGUUUAAAGGGAGCGUAGGCUGUUUGUUAAGCGUGUUGUGAAAUGUAAGAGCUCAACUUUUAGAUUGCAGCGCGAACUGGCAGACUUGAGUGCGCACAACGUAGGCGGAAUUCAUGAUGUGGCGGUGAAAUGCUUAGACAUCUUGACGAACUCCGAUUGCGAAGGCAGCUUACGGGAGCGCAACUGACGCUAAAGCUCGAAGGUGCGGGUAUCGAACAGG